rnacentral:rRNA from 1 species
AGUGAACGCUGGCGGUAGGCCUAACACAUGCAAGUCGAACGGCAGCACAGUAAGAGCUUGCUCUUACGGGUGGCGAGUGGCGGACGGGUGAGGAAUACAUCGGAAUCUACUUUUUCGUGGGGGAUAACGUAGGGAAACUUACGCUAAUACCGCAUACGACCUACGGGUGAAAGCAGGGGAUCUUCGGACCUUGCGCGAUUGAAUGAGCCGAUGUCGGAUUAGCUAGUUGGCGGGGUAAAGGCCCACCAAGGCGACGAUCCGUAGCUGGUCUGAGAGGAUGAUCGGCAACAUGGAACCGAGGCACGGGCCCAACUCCUAAGGGGAGGCACAGUGGGGAAUAAUUGGCAAUGGGCGCAAGCCUGAUCCAGCCAUACCGCGUGGGUGAAGAAGGCCUUCGGGUUGUAAAGCCCUUUUGUUGGGAAAGAAAAGCAGCAGGUUAAUACCCCGCUGUUCUGACGGUACCCAAAGAAUAAGCACCGGCUAACUUCGUG